rnacentral:rRNA from 1 species
CCUACGGGGGGCAGCAGUGAGGAAUAUUGGUCAAUGGGCGCGAGACUGAACCAGCCAAGUAGCGUGAAGGAUGACUGCCCUACGGGUUGUAAACUUCUUCUAUAAAGGAAUAAAGUGAGGCACGUGUGCCUUUUUGUAUGUACUUUAUGAAUAAGGAUCGGCUAACUCCGUGCCAGCAGCCGCGGUAAUACGGAGGAUCCGAGCGUUAUCCGGAUUUAUUGGGUUUAAAGGGAGCGUAGAUGGGUUGUUAAGUCAGUUGUGAAAGUUCGCGGCUCAACCGUAAAAUUGCAAUUGAUACUGGCAGUCUUGAGUACAGUUGAGGGAGGCGGAAUUCGAGGUGUAGCGGUGAAAUGCUUAGAUAUCACGAAGAACUCCGAUUGCGAAGGCAGCUUACUAAACUGCCACUGACAUUGAUGCUCGAAAGUGUGGGUAUCAAACAGGAUUAGAUACCCGGGUAGUC